CCCGGUGGAGUUUCGUCUUUAAACGGUUGCUGUUUAGAGCAGUACGAAGGUAGCGCAGUAAAUCGUCCUUUGAUUUGGGAAUAGUAUGAAUGGCUUGACGUGAGGAGGUCUGUCUCGGACUCAUUUGUUGAUGUUUAUUUCUGUGUGAAAAGGCUCAGAUUUUUUCAUUAGACGAGAAGACCCCGUCGAGCUUGAUGGGGGCUGGGGUAUCGUUCUUAGCUCGAAGUUUAGCUGGGGUGACUUGAUGCAGAAUUAACGCAUUUGAAGUAUUAGGUGUGAAGAUCCUCUAUUAGGGACAUGAAGAAAAAGCUACCGCGGGGAUAACAGCGUAAUGUCCUUGGAAAGGUCUUAUUGAAGAGGGGUGUUGCGACCUCGAUGUUGAAUUAGGGUUUCGUCUUGGCGCAGCCGUUGAGAUAGUGGGACUGUUCGUCCUUUAAAAUUCUACGUGAUCUGA
rnacentral:rRNA from 1 species